ACAUCCAGCGAAUUCGGUAGAGAUACCUUAGUGACCUUCGGGAACGCUGAGACAGGUGCUGCAUGGCUGUCGUCAGCUCGUGUUGUGAAAUGUUGGGUUAAGUCCCGCAACGAGCGCAACCCUUAUCCUUUGUUGCCAGCGGUCCGGCCGGGAACUCAAAGGAGACUGCCAGUGAUAAACUGGAGGAAGGUGGGGAUGACGUCAAGUCAUCAUGGCCCUUACGAGUAGGGCUACACACGUGCUACAAUGGCGCAUACAAAGAGAAGCGACCUCGCGAGAGCAAGCGGACCUCAUAAAGUGCGUCGUAGUCCGGAUUGGAGUCUGCAACUCGACUCCAUGAAGUCGGAAUCGCUAGUAAUCGUAGAUCAGAAUGCUACGGUGAAUACGUUCCCGGGCCUUGUACACACCGCCCGUCACACCAUGGGAGUGGGUUGCAAAAGAAGUAGGUAGCUUAACCUUCGGGAGGGCGCUUACCACUUUGUGAUUCAUGACUGGGGUGAAGUCGUAACAAGGUAGGCGUAGAUGA
rnacentral:rRNA from 1 species